CUCACAGCCAGCCGACCCCAACCAUCACACAAGAUGGGCAUACAUUGACUCUGAUUUUCUUAAGGAGCUGGACAGGCCUGCCAAGAUUCUUCAAGCAUAUCCCUGCUUCAGAGAACUGGAUCAUGUAAGCAACUUUAAUUGCAUAUAUUGGAUAAUGGAUGAACUCCGGACUAUCCUCGAUCAGGAAAACUCUCACUACAUACCUGAAAUAAAGAACUGUUGGGAAACCUUUUAAUGAGAAGGCACAGUUUUAUGGAGUUUUUAAAAAAGUAAUGAGGCCUCCGUUGUCGGAUAAAGUAAAGCAAUCUGUUGCCGUGAUUAAGGCUUUGCCAGACCUGUUCCCAUCACCUGUGGCUCCACACAAGAAGUUAGGACAUGCAAGUGCAGCUAUGCUUCACAUCCUUAAGUCAGCAGAAGACCCCAACACCUUUCUUCAGGCAAGACCACUCUCCAGCCCUAUUGUGAUUGUCUGACUCCAUCCAUGACCGAGAUAUGCCUUCGUCAUAUAAAAAAGUUAUGGCUGAGUGGAAGAAGUUCAUUACUGAAUAGGCUUGGACAUUAAUAAUAUUAAUAACAUGUGUGUUUUGGAGGAGCUGUUGUUUUGGAGGAGCUGUUGUUUUUUCAGCCUCUUGGAAAGUCAGGCACGUUGUUCUGUCAGAUGCUUAUAGUUUAAUUUUGCCCAUUCAGCUUUUCAGCCUUGACUUGACUUCAUGUAUGCUCUGCUGACAUGCACCUAA